ensembl:snoRNA SNORD114-1 small nucleolar RNA, C/D box 114-1
UGGAUCAAUGAUGAUGUCUGAUGGCGUGUGAAUUAUAUAUGGUGAGUACUUUGUGACUGGAAGUCACAGUUUCAA